rnacentral:rRNA from 1 species
GAUGAACGCUGGCGGCGUGCCUAAUACAUGCAAGUCGAGCGAACAGACGAGGAGCUUGCUCCUCUGACGUUAGCGGCGGACGGGUGAGUAACACGUGGAUAACCUACCUAUAAGACUGGGAUAACUUCGGGAAACCGGAGCUAAUACCGGAUAAUAUAUUGAACCGCAUGGUUCAAUAGUGAAAGACGGUUUUGCUGUCACUUAUAGAUGGAUCCGCGCCGCAUUAGCUAGUUGGUAAGGUAACGGCUUACCAAGGCAACGAUGCGUAGCCGACCUGAGAGGGGGAUCGGCCACAAUGGAACUGAGAACAGGUCCCGACUCCUAAGGGGGGCCGCAGUAGGGAAUCUUCCGGCAUGGGCGAAAGCCUGACGGAGCAAAGCCGCGGGAGUGAUGAAGGUCUUCGGAUCGUAAAACUCUGUUAUUAGGGAAGAACAAAUGUGUAAGUAACUAUGCACGUCUUGACGGUACCUAAUCAGAAAGCCACGGCUAACUACGUG